rnacentral:lncRNA from 10 species
AAAGAAAGCUGUGAAAACAGUGAAGAAAAAAGACAAAGGAAAAUCUGAGGAUUCAGAAAAGAAGAUGUCUCCAGAAAAAGAGUUUAAAAUAAAAGAAGAUUUGGAUCAAGUACAGGUAACACACCCACUCUCUCUAUGCAUCAAUAUUUGAUUAAUACUUGCUCUGAUAGUCAUAUAUAGAGAAACAUUAUUACGUAUGUGAUUAUAGGGUAUAUAUGUCUGUGUGUGUGUAUGUGUCUCUGUGUGUGUGU